GAAAGCGUGGGGAGCAAACAGGAUUAGAUACCUGGUAGUCCACGCCCUAAACGAUGUCAACUAGCUGUUGGGGCCUUCGGGCCUUGGUAGCGCAGCUAACGCGUGAAGUUGACCGCCUGGGGAGUACGGUCGCAAGAUUAAAACUCAAAGGAAUUGACGGGGACCCGCACAAGCGGUGGAUGAUGUGGAUUAAUUCGAUGCAACGCGAAAAACCUUACCUACCCUUGACAUGUCUGGAAUGCCGAAGAGAUUUGGUAGUGCUCGCAAGAGAACCGGAACACAGGUGCUGCAUGGCUGUCGUCAGCUCGUGUCGUGAGAUGUUGGGUUAAGUCCCGCAACGAGCGCAACCCUUGUCAUUAGUUGCUACGAAAGGGCACUCUAAUGAGACUGCCGGUGACAAACCGGAGGAAGGUGGGGAUGACGUCAAGUCCUCAUGGCCCUUAUGGGUAGGGCUUCACACGUCAUACAAUGGUCGGGACAGAGGGUCGCCAACCCGCGAGGGGGAGCCAAUCCCAGAAACCCGAUCGUAGUCCGGAUCGCAGUCUGCAACUCGACUGCGUGAAGUCGGAAUCGCUAGUAAUCGCGGAUCAGCAUGUCGCGGUGAAUACGUUCCCGGGUCUUGUACACACCGCCCGUCACACCAUGGGAGUGGGUUUUACCAGAAGUAGUUAGCCUAACCGCAAGGGGGGCGAUUACCACGGUAGGAUUCAUGACUGGGGUGAAGUCGUAACAAGGUAACC
rnacentral:rRNA from 1 species